UAAUACAGAGGGUGCGAGCGUUGUCCGGAAUCACUGGGCGUAAAGGGCGCGUAGGUGGCCCGGCAAGUCGAUGGUGAAAGCUCGUCGCUCAACGACGAGUCGGCCAUUGAUACUGCGGGGCUGGAGCACUGUAGAGGCUCAUGGAAUUCCGGGUGUAGCGGUGGAAUGCGUAGAGAUCCGGAAGAACACCGGUGGCGAAGGCGGUGAGCUGGGCAGUAGCUGACACUGAGGCGCGACAGCGUGGGGAGCAAACAGGAUUAGAUACCCUGGUAGUCCACGCCGUAAACGAUGGGCACUAGAUGCUUGGGGGAGCGACCCCCUGAGUGUCGCCGCUAACGCAUUAAGUGCCCCGCCUGGGGAGUACGGCCGCAAGGCUG
rnacentral:rRNA from 1 species